AUUGAACGCUGGCGGCAGGCUUAACACAUGCAGGUCGAGCGGAGAUGAGGUGCUUGCACCUUAUCUUAGCGGCGGACGGGUGAGUAAUGCUUAGGAAUCUGCCUAUUAGUGGGGGACAACAUUCCGAAAGGAAUGCUAAUACCGCAUACGUCCUACGGGAGAAAGCAGGGGGUCUUCGGACCUUGCGCUAAUAGAUGAGCCUAAGUCGGAUUAGCUAGUUGGUGGGGUAAAGGCCUACCAAGGCGACGAUCUGUAGCGGGUCUGAGAGGAUGAUCCGCCACACUGGGACUGAGACACGGCCCAGACUCCUACGGGAGGCAGCAGUGGGGAAUAUUGGACAAUGGGCGGAAGCCUGAUCCAGCCAUGCCGCGUGUGUGAAGAAGGCCUUUUGGUUGUAAAGCACUUUAAGCGAGGAGGAGGCUACCUGGAUUAAUACUCUAGGAUAGUGGACGUUACUCGCAGAAUAAGCACCGGCUAACUCUGUGCCAGCCGCCGCCGUAAAAC
rnacentral:rRNA from 1 species